ensembl:lncRNA
AAAAUAUCACUCAUUGAAAGAUGUAUUAAUAUCCCCUUUAGACCUGUAGCAUUCCCAAAAAUCAAUACUUGGCCACAUUUUGUGUGCUCAAAGAUCAGACGCUGAGUUUCCAGCUCCUGCUGCACAUGCUUCAUCACUGCCAGCUCUGUUUAAAGCUGAGCGGCUGCUGUAUGUAACCUCUCUAUUCAAUCUCCUUCAUGAGCUGCUGUCAUGAUGCUUUCUCAUCAUAGAGCUUCAGAGCUGAGUUUAGGCACGUUAACUAAAACAAAAGGUUACUGCAGUGAUUGAGAAAGACAGAUUGUUUUGAGACGUGUCCAAUGUAUCAAAACUUGAGACGGCUGAUAAAACCACAGAAGCCAAGACUUUGGACUGCUGAUCUAAUGUGUUUUUAGUGCGAUCGGGGCUAGUUGUCGCACUGUUGUUGCAGGGACUUUAUGUCAAGUGGAAGUCUAUAUUCUCUGUUUUAUGUUAAUGUUUGAGCAAGCUGUCUAUAUAUUAUUUGUGAUAGGCUUUACAUAUAAAUGUUUUUAUAUUAUAUUAUUAUAUCCUUUAUAUAUUAUUUAUAUUUUAAUGUUAUUUUAUACAGUUCUUUAGACCUUACUCAUGGUUUUUGUGCUUGGGUGGUUUUUUAAUGAUAAAUUGUUUUCAUGUUUUUCCCCUCUAGAUGAUGCAUCCUCCGGCUGUAUACUAUUAUGAUGCGGCAUUUUCCAGCUAUAUAGUAUAAUGAUAAAUGAGGAUUCAGCCGGAAAGCCGCUAUUUGCAGACACAGCUCCCUUAUCAAAAGUCUAAACAGCUGAAAACUUCAGAGCAGGAUUCACACAGCGCUCUCAUUUCCAUACAGGCAACACGACAGAUGACUGCUGCUUUCAAACACAUGCACAUUCUCCACCUCAUAUUCUUUCAUUCAUUCAAACAUUAACAAUCUCCUGCAAUGUCAGUCCAUAAGAAUCAUAAUAUUUGGCUAACUGUCUAUUCAAAUAUUUAGGGCUGGGGGGUGGGUUUGCUCCUGUGUUCCAGCAGGAGGGAUGUUCUGUAUUUACUAAAGUAACCAAUGUUCCUCAGGUUUGGUUGCAUCCUUUCUUUUCCUCUUAAAGGGAUAGUUCAGUCAAAAGUGAAAAUUCUAUUUUUUAUUUAUUUACACCUUGAAGUGAGUUUGGAAUGACCUCAGGGCAAAUAAAUAAUGACAGAAUCUUCCCUGCUGUCA